GCCGCUUGUUUCCGCCGCAAGAAUCGUCGGGGGAAAUCGGGCCUCCUUCGCCGAGUGGCCCUGGCAGGCAUCCAUCAGAGUGUGGCGCGCGCGCACGUACAUGCACGUGUGCGGCGGCGCUCUCCUGACCAGCAACUGGGUCGUCACAGCGGCGCAUUGCACCUACAGACAGAAGGCCAAUCAGGUGAGUGUCGUCCUGGGAGAGUACGACCUGGAGACUGUGGAUGAACCUUACGCGUUCGUCAACAGCAGAGUCGAGACGG